GCAGUUGUAAACAGUACCUGGUUGUAGAAUUCCUGUAGGAGACAGUCUAGCCAGGGCUCAGCCACCUCCAUGGGCCGUGCCUCAUUAGAAAUAUCACUGACUUUGAUCAGGAUCAUCAUCAACUGGGGCAGAAGGCAAAGAAGAAGACAAUAUAAACGUUCUCAAUCAAGGACAGCACAGCAAUCACCACUAAGAUGGAUGUUACACAACAUGGUCACAUGAUGGCAGCCAAAAUCCUGGACAGGAAACCCACACAUUGUCAUUAUUGCAAGUAUGUCAUUCUAGACAUUGCCAUAAUUCAGAUGUUUUUUGAUGUUUGUCUGGUUUAUAAGGUUUUAAAUGGACUUGCCCCACUACUAUUAAAUUUUUUCAUUCAGAAAAUCUGGAAAAAACUACCAGUUUAUAAGCGGGACUGAGAAAACUAUUUCAACCGAAAAAACACGGGCUGAAAAUAAACCAGUCAUGCUCUCAUACAUAACACACUCUCUCAUUUGAUGCCCAUUGCCCACUCCCAGGAGUCUUCUGCUUUAUUAUUUAUUAUACUACUAUAAACAGCGGCUCUGAUCAACCCUCCAUCUGAAAGAUCCUUUCCUUUCCUUCUUAUCUGUAUUAUCUAUUUUUAAAGUAUUGUUUGUGACUUAUUUGUCAUAAUUCAUUUUAAUUUGAUAAUUAUAAUACUAAUAAUGAUGAUGAUGGAUGGGUGGAUGGGUGGAUGGACAUCUGCUCCUCUUACCACCUCUUUGUGUUCCUUGUUGGUGAAGUCAAAGUCAGACAAGAUGGACUUGAACUUAUUGAGGAUGUCAUUGUGUCUUGUCAUGUCAGUGGCCAGAAUACACCUGCAAUGACAACAGAACAUGGAAGCCUUCUGUAUAAUGUUGACUGCUCACAUAAAUAACAGUACAGACAGUGUCAAAUGUGCACAGUAAGAGAAUUAGAGGGGUGGUCUCACUUGAUGAUUCCCUCUCUUAUUCGUUUGUAUUGAUCCAUGGACAGGUUUCUGAAGAUGUUGCUCUCUGUCUAAAGAACAGAAAACCUUCAAGUUUGCUUUCACAGCGGUUUUGGACAGAAACUUUGAAACAAGCAGAAGGUUUAGGUCUCUACCUUCUCCAGUAUCUCAAAAGCUACAGCACAGUGAUGGUUCUCCAGCGGAGAGAUGUCAUUGUAGCGAAGAGCAAGUUCGGUCCGAGCAUUUAUCUGAAAGUUGGAUAUUUUAAUAUAAAUGUGAAUAACAAGACAUUGCGGUUUCUUAAACAUAUUUCAAUAUCUUUUCACUUAUCCCACAGUAAGUUUCUGCAAACAUACUGCUGUUUGACAUAUUUGACUAACAGUUUCCAUUACGUGAUUUGUCCACAGGGUGGCACUGACGGGUUUCUGUCCUGUAAAAUGCCUGGAACAAUGUAGCUGUGGAUUUUUGUGACAUUCGAUUUUAUGUGCAUUAGUGGUCACAGCAGUGGUUCCUUUUGUCUUUACCAGUCCUUCUAUGGUGAUUCAGUGUUGUUGGGCACAAUUACACCAUCCUUACGGCCUGUGAAAGCACAGAGAGGGUGUUUUUUUCUUUACACAAACCUGAUAGGCAUUAUUGUAUCCUGUGUGGUCGAGGUCAUGGCAGACUGCGGAGGUCAACAUGAUCAGCAGGUCAAUGGCGUCCAUCUUAUUCCUCAGGUCAAUGAGCCAGAUCAGACCAUACAUCUGCUCGGAGAUAAAGACAUUGUGGAGGAUAGGGUCAGAACUGGAGAUGCUCUGUUAUAUAUCAUUUGAAUAAAAAAAUGAAAGCUGUAUUUAUAGAUUAUUUUCUCCCUGGGGGCAUUGAAAGAAACGAUUGACAUAC